CACGGAGAAUGCCACGUGACAAUGGAGACAGGGAUUGCAGUGAUGUUGCUACAAGCCAAGAAACACCCAGGAUCGCCAGCAGCCACCAGGAGCCAGGAGAGAGGCACGGAGCAGUUUCUCCCUCAGAACCCCUGGACGGAACCAACCUUGCCAAUACCUUGAUUUCAAAUUUCCAGAACUGCAAGAGCAGACAUUUCUGUUGCUUUGAGUCAUCCGGCCACAUCUCCAGAUCUGAAAUGGAAAGGGCACAUAUUUAUUUGCUGGGGGCUGCAGUCUCUUUUCACCGUUAUUCGCAAUGACUCUGUUGGCUGCCCUGUUUGGGGCUGUGUUUGUCUGUCUGCCCGUCUCUGUUGUCACGCUAGUCCUGGAUCUGCCCCCAAACUACAGACAUUCUGCAGAGAUGGGACAAAACGAGGGAGAGUGGGCAAGGGGCUCCAGGAUUCCAUAAAACCGGCUCGACAAAGAGAAUGCCUGCUCAGAAGUCAAGAACUCCUGUGAUCUAAUUUGUGGGUGUCACCAUUACCUCCUCUCAGGGUGGAGACUGGGAGCUUGAGAAGAGAGAUGUGACUUGUCCAAAACCACAUGAUAACGUAGUGACUCAAAUCCAGCUCCAUGUGGAAGACUUCCCAGUGCCGUCUCUCCACCGCAACGCAUUUCCUCUUUUUACUACAGAAUUUCCCCCCUCCUUUCUUCUUUUAAAAACCAACAUUCCAUGACAUAUUUACAAUUUUACAGAGAAAAAAAAAACCUAAUCAAAAGUACAUCAAAUAAGCCCUAUACCUGUCCAGAUUCUUAUGGACGUGUGCGCACAGAUAUUUACCAGGUCAUCAUCAGCACAGGUCAGGCGCGGUGGCUCAUGCCUGUAAUCCCAACAAUUCGGGAGGCUGAAGCAGGAAGAUAAUUGAGCCCAGGAGUUCAAGACCAUCCCAGGCAACAUGACAAAAUCCUGUCUCUACAAAAAAUUAGCUGGGCAUGGUGGUGUAUGCCUGUAGUCCCAGCUACUCAAGAGGCUGAGGUGGGAAGAUUGCCUGCGCCCAGGAAGUUGAGGCUGCAGUGAGCCGUGAUCACGCCACUGCACUCCAGCCUGGGUGCAGUGAGACCCAGUCUCAAAAUAAAUAAAUAAAUAAAUGUCUUCCAUUCAUUUAGAUCUAUUUAUUGUACUGAUCUUCCAUUUUCCUGCUUUAUCCUACUAUUGUACAAUUUUAAUAACUACUGCUUGCCUGCCUUGUUUGCUUAGAGAAGUCUUGCUCCUAAAAGAUUUUCAAAACAUCCUUUGAUAUGCAUGUCCACCAAUUUUUCCUGAUUAUUAUUAUAAUUAUCAUGUUCUUGCAUUAUGAAGUAUUUCACUGGAAUUUUAAAUGCCAAAAGGGCAUGAAAUCUAGGCAUAAACUUUGGAAUGCUGACCCUUUAAUGCUUUAAUUUCUGAUCAGAAGCAGCCAUGUAGGAUUUUGUAAUUUUCUUUGAAUAAAAA
rnacentral:lncRNA from 10 species